AAGUCGAACGCAACCUUCGGGUUGAGUGGCGGACGGGUGAGUAACGCGUGAGAAUCUGCCUUGGGGUCGGGGACAACCACUGGAAACGGUGGCUAAUACCGGAUAAGCCUUUGGGUAAAAGAUUUAUUGCCCCAAGAGGAGCUCGCGUCUGAUUAGCUAGUUGGUGAGGUAAAAGCUCACCAAGGCAGCGAUCAGUAGCUGGUCUGAGAGGGCGAUCAGCCACACUGGGACUGAGACACGGCCCAGACUCCUACGGGAGGCAGCAGUGGGGAAUUUUCCGCAAUGGGCGAAAGCCUGACGGAGCAAGACCGGUGAGGGAGGAAGGCUCUUGGGUUGUAAACCUCUUUCUCAGAAAAGCUCUGACGGUACCUGAGAAUCAGCCUCGCUAACUCCCGUGCCAGCAGCCGCGGUAAUACGGAGGAGGCAAGCGUUAUCCGGAAUUAUUGGGCGUAAAGCGUCCGCAGGUGGCGAUUCAAGUCUGCUGUCAAAGCACGGGGCUUAACUCCGUUAAGGCAGUGGAAACUGAAUAGCUAGAGUGCCGUAGGGGUAGAGGGAAUUCCCGGUGUAGCGGUGAAAUGCGUAGAGAUCGGGAAGAACAUCGGUGGCGAAAGCGCUCUACUGGACGGCAACUGACACUCAGGGACGAAAGCUAGGGGAGCGAAUGGGAUUAGAUACCCCAGUAGUCCUAGCUGUAAACGAUGGAUACUAGGUGUAGCUUGGUAUCGACCCGAGCUGUGCCGAAGCUAACGCGUUAAGUAUCCCGCCUGGGGAGUACGCACGCAAGUGUGAAACUCAAAGGAAUUGACGGGGGCCCGCACAAGCGGUGGAGUAUGUGGUUUAUUCGAUGCAACGCGAAGAACCUUACCAGGGCUUGACAUGUCCGGAAUCCCGGUG
rnacentral:rRNA from 1 species